UAGGGAAUUUUCCACAAUGGGCGAAAGCCUGAUGGAGCAACGCCGCGUGCAGGAUGAAGGCCUUAGGGUUGUAAACUGCUUUUAUAAGUGACGAAUAUGACGGUAACUUAUGAAUAAGGACCGGCUAACUCCGUGCCAGCAGCCGCGGUCAUACGGAGGGUCCAAGCGUUAUCCGGAAUUACUGGGCGUAAAGAGUUGCGUAGGUGGCAUAGUAAGUAGAUAGUGAAAGCGUGUGGCUCAACCAUACUCACAUUAUCUAAACUGCUAAGCUAGAGAAUGAGAGAGGUACCUGGAAUUCCCUGUGUAGGAGUGAAAUCCGUAGAUAUUUGGAGGAACACCGAUGGCGUAGGCAGGUGACUGGCUCAUUCUUGACACUAAGGCACGAAAGCGUGGGGAGCAAA
rnacentral:rRNA from 1 species